UUAAGAGGUUGGAGUACGUGGGGUGUGGAAGGAUGGAUGGAUGCAGAGGCAGAGAUGUCGUGGUCCACAAUUUUUAAUUACUUGUUUUUCUAAUACCUAUUUACAAGGUGCAAAGGAGGUUGAGGGAGCAAUGUGUCUUCUCCAGCAGCAGCACAGUAAAUGAUGAAACAGGCGCCUUUAAAUACUGUCUGACUAACUGGUUAAAACCAUAAAACUCUCCCAGGGGUGUACAUUUAAAGAUGACUUCCUAAAAACUAUCUAAAACCCUCUAUAAACCAUAACAACAACCAUAAACCAUGUAAAACACCAAGCUAUCUACAUAAAAUCCUAAACCAAACACCAAAGAUAAAUAGAAACCUCAUAACCAUAUAAAAAGCUAAACUUGGCUCCCCUACACAUUUCCCUGCCUUGGUCCAGCCCGGAACCUUCUUAAGGCAGUCGUUUCCGCCCCGGCCUCUUUUAGGGGACGGACCUGGACACAAGGACAAGGGCCCAACCACUCUACUAUAAAGUGCUGCAGUGCCACUGGAUCUAAAACCAGGAAAAGGAAAUGCAUUCAAUAAACAUUUAUACAAAUAACUGUGUGCAAUUAUUUCUUAAAUGUGCAAAUAUGCAUCCAUAAAGUGCUGUAUGCUAUCUAAAGUGCUAAAUAAAGUGCUUAAAUACAAA